rnacentral:rRNA from 1 species
GCUUGCUCUCCUGGAUUAGUGGCGAACGGGUGAGUAACACGUGAGCAAUCUGCCCUUGACUCUGGGAUAAGCGCUGGAAACGGCGUCUAAUACCGGAUACGAGCUGCGAAGGCAUCUUCAGCAGCUGGAAAGAACUUCGGUCAAGGAUGAGCUCGCGGCCUAUCAGCUUGUUGGUGAGGUAAUGGCUCACCAAGGCGACGACGGGUAGCCGGCCUGAGAGGGUGACCGGCCACACUGGGACUGAGACACGGCCCAGACUCCUACGGGAGGCAGCAGUGGGGAAUAUUGCACAAUGGGCGCAAGCCUGAUGCAGCAACGCCGCGUGAGGGAUGACGGCCUUCGGGUUGUAAACCUCUUUUAGCAGGGAAGAAGCGAGAGUGACGGUACCUGCAGAAAAAGCACCGGCUAACUACGUGCCAGCAGCCGCGGUAAUACGUAGGGUGCGAGCGUUAUCCGGAAUUAUUGGGCGUAAAGAGCUCGUAGGCGGUCUGUCGCGUCUGCUGUGAAAACCCGAGGCUCAACCUCGGGCUUGCAGUGGGUACGGGCAGACUAGAGUGCGGUAGGGGAGAUUGGAAUUCCUGGUGUAGCGGUGGAAUGCGCAGAUAUCAGGAGGAACACCGAUGGCGAAGGCAGAUCUCUGGGCCGUUACUGACGCUGAGGAGCGAAAGCGUGGGGAGCAAACAGGCUUAGAUACCCUGGUAGU